CUCAAUGCACGUAACUGAUGUGAGGUUAAUCCAGUCAAUCGUGACAUAGCAAUGUUUUUUUUUUGUUGGCAGGGUUCACACAUACACUAGCUGAAUUUCCAGAGCUAGCACGCAAACUAAAGCAAACAUUAACUAUCAAGCUAGCUAGUACCUAUUCCAUUUAUGUGGCGUCGUCAAAGAUGGAAUCUUUGCAAUUGUCAGUUUAUUCCAAGAUCAGCAUGCAGCUGUAGUGCUUCAAAGUCUCUGUGAUAAGGUUAGCGAUAAACUGAACUACACUCUUCCUCUACCAUUGCCUUAAAUAUAUUUAAUGGUCUCGUUGCAAAAGCUAAAUUGUCGCUAGGGAACUUUUAUUUUUUUCACCUUUAUUUAACCAGAUAGCAAAGAUUAUAGCAAACACCACAUGGUGCUCGCUAGCUUUGCAAAAUCAGCCAUUGUUGGAAGCCAGCCAACAUGAAACAAACUAUAUUAAAAUUACAAAAGGUUUCAGUAUAUGUUGCGUAAAUGGUGAACUCAUACAGCUGUCAACUCAUCACUGCAAUCCGUUUCACAUUUGCUAGCUACCUUUUAGAUCGAAGCCCAUAUAGAAUGAUAGAAGAUAAGAUGAUAGAAGCCCAUCUCCUACUGUAAAUAUCCUACACACUGUGUAGCCAGCCAGGUAGAAAAAUGGCAAAAAAAAAGGAUGGACAUCAGAGUAUUUCAGUACACCAAAAUGCAAAGCAGAGCAGGCAACAGAUGGCACACAGAUGGCAGAGCUGGGGACAGAUAGGCAGGGACAGACUGGCAGAGACAAGGAGUCUCAGAUCCCUCUCUUUCACAACAAAUACCCCCUGUAGCAGCAGUGGAGAGGCAGCAGAGGUCCUCAGGAGUCUUCCAGUGGAGGUGCGGGGGUUGUUUGACCAAGUUGAGGUGCUGAUCAGAAUUUUGUUUGUGGUGCCAGUGUCUUCAUGUAAGGCUGAGAGGAGUUUCAGUGCACUCCGCAGGUUAAAGACUUGGCUACAGGCUAGCAUGGGCCAAGAGAGACUGAACAGGGUAGUUGUCUGUAAUGUACAUAAAGACAGGCUGGACAGUCUCAAGAGGGAAAAUAUCUGCAGGCAAUUUGUUGGAUCCAUUGAAACCCACAAACAUAUGUUUGGUUCUUUUGUUCAGUAGUGUGUAUAGCAGUGGUUCUCAACCUUUUUUGGGGUACUGGAACCCCUGCAUAUUUUGAGGCAAGGCGGGCAAGGUUUUGAGCGGUCCUCAGGGACCUCCACCCCCUCUAUAUUGUAUGUAAAGUUACUGGAAACCUUGUGGUACUGAAUACAUUCAUUAUACUUUUUUAUUUCACAGACCCCUUGCAAUUACACCAGGGACCCCUAAGGGGUACAUGGACCCCUGUUUGAGAACCCCUGGUGUAUAGUAUGAUAUUUGUUAUUUUGUUUAGUAGUUUUUAGUACAUGACAGUACACUUACUAAUGAUUUAUUUAAUGUUAGUUUAUUUACAAUUGCAUACUUUGUGUGACAUACUUGUCCAUAGCUGCUUUUUGAAUAGUUGAGACACUGACUGAAGGAUAUUUUGUUUGAUUUAUUUGGGUUAUUUAUUGAAGUAGUUACUUUGCUUUUAGAACUGUACUUAUU